AGAAAGAAAGUUUGGAUCCACCACUGCGUGCCCUCUUCAGACCCUAUCCAGCUCGGAGUCAUCCUACCUUGUCUUUUCUGUCCUUGGCUGUUCUUCCAGUCCCUCAAGCUGUCUCCUCGGACAUGAUGUCUACAGCGCAGACUCAUUUUUCAACAGAGAUCACUGUCAUUGUCCACGGAGGCUUCUAAGAAAGAAACUACAACGUUGGAAACUGAGAACUGCUGGUCUGGACCGACCAUAAAAACUUGGCAGUCAUCCAAUCCACCGAAAGCCUCAACUCACGUCGAGCCAGGGUGCCAUCCCCAAUCCAUUGGUCGGACUGAGAGAGCCAACCAGGACCUAGAAGCAUCCCUUUGUUGUGUGUCUGCUCAGCGUCCGUCCUCCUGGCCCAACAUCUGCUGUGGAUAGAGCAUGCCCACAACUCCCUGACCAUCUCCGCCACUGGCUUCUCACCUUUUGAGGUCGCCCUGGGAUACCAAACCCCCCCCUUGUUUCCUGCUCAGGAGAAGGAACUGGCUGUUCCCUCGGUUCAGGAGAACCUAAAGUUUGGAGCGACGCCCGGGAAGCCCUGCUCAACGAAGCCAAACUCAGCACCGGCGCCAGAUCGUUGCACCUACCAGUGUGACCUACGCCUCCAGACCUGUUGCCGUGGCUCAUCACGCUCAAGCCUUCCUACCUUCCUGCUUGGAUUCCACAAAGAAAGUUUGGAUCCAGCACUGCCUGCCCUCCUCAGCCCCUAUCCAGCUCGGAGUCAUCCUACUUUGUUAUUUCUGUCCUUGGCUGCCA